GUACAUUUCUAUAUUUUUACCUCAAAUGUAUCAAUUUGACAUAAUACAUCAUCUCUCUCCGUCAGCCAGUGCUCUUCAAGAGUCACUGUAACACUCGCUGCAGCCACCUACAGUCCAACUCAUCAGGUUUAAGUGCAAUACUAUUUGAAAUCAGUCAAUUCUGUUCUUACAUAUAUACUGUAGAUAGGCCUACUAUAGUAGAUGAUGAUUGGAAAUAAUGUCCAGUUCUUCAAUUCAUGAAUUUCAUUUUAAUCUUCUAUAUUGUCUGAAUUUUGAAUUGACUGACUCUGCCCCAAGAUAGAGACAUUUUCAUGGCUUACCAUUUCUGGUUGUAACUGUAAUUUUGUUGCAGAAAUCCAAAAUCCCACAGAGGUUAAGUGGACAGUGGAGGAUUUUAACAAUGGUACCCGACUCCUCAAUCUGACUUGGGGUACACCACCUUAUCCAGUCUCUGUGGGACAGGUGAAUUACAACCUCUCUCUCCAUAUUUGGCCUUGCCAACUAAAGCGAAAGAACCACACCAAUAUCACUACCACUGAGUUUAGUGUUUAUGUGACUUACUCUGCUGUCAGUGGUUACAUUUUUGCCUUUAAUAAGGUGGGAAAGUCAUCGCAGACACAUAUCCUUGUCCCAGCAAAACAUCUUACAUAUCCCAGGAAGUCUUGGCCUGAUGACAAACUCAUCCCACACAAUUAUACCCCUCGCCUUAAAAAUUCCUGUCUGGAAUGGUACAAGCUAACAGACGGAGAAACACAACCAGCCAAAGUGAAUAUAUCAAAAAUUAUGAAUGGAACAGUGGAGGAAACACUCAAAUCUAUCAGACAAAGUAAGGGGGAACUUCACGAAAAGUAUAUAUUUCUUAAGAAUAAGAAAUGUCUGUGUUCGUCUUACUGUGAUAGACCAAGAUAUACAGUAUAUCUCUUGAACUGAAGAUAAUGUCUGGUUUUGAUUUUUAG